UUUCCUUAUAUAGAGAAACUGAAUAUCCACCGAAUGUCCAUUAUAAAACUAACUUUCCCUUGCGUGAUUUAGAGUAGUUGUGAAUGUUAACUUAAAGCCACUUAAAUGCCACUACUUUGCACACGGAGAAUACAUUCUACACACCAAACCUUUACGUUUUUCAGGACACUGUGGGUCAGGACACUGUGUAAAACCCAAUCCUGCACCCUACGCAGGGCAAUAUCCCCUUCACUGACUUUGGGCACUGGAAUUUGAUACUAAGUCCAGAGGGAAGGGUGCCCUCUAUUGGCCAUCUAACAACACUUCCAGUGGCAUCUCCCGUCCAGGGAUCAUCCUGGACCGACACCACCUAGCACCAGAGGCAAGUCCACAGUGGGAUACAAUACCAAUAUUAAAUGGAAUUGUGUACUCAAUUUGGGUGCCGACUGCAGAUGUAGUCAACGUCUUUGAAUUACAUUGAGCCAGAAGAGAACACUGAGCCAGAAAAGACAGCAAUCUGAGCCAGAAGAGACAACAUGCUGAGCCAGAAGAGACAACAUGCUGAGCCAGAAGAGACAACAUGCUGAGCCAGAAGAGACAGCAAUCUGAGCCAGAAGAGACAACAUGCUGAGCCAGAAGAGACAACAUGCUGAGCCAGAAGAGACAACAUGCUGAGCCAGAAGAGACAACAUGCUGAGCCAGAAGAGACAACAUGCUGAGCCAGAAGAGACAACAUGCUGAGCCAGAAGAGACAACAUGCUGAGCCAGAAGAGACAACAUGCUGAGCCAGAAGAGACAACAUGCUGAGCCAGAAGAGACAACAUGCUGAGCCAGAAGAGACAACAUGCUGAGCCAGAAGAGACAACAUGCUGAGCCAGAAGAGACAACAUGCUGAGCCAGAAGAGACAACAUGCUGAGCCAGAAGAGACUGACAUGCGUGUCAUUCACAGUACACACAGCCAUAAUCAUGGGGAAGACUGCUGACUUGACAGCUGUCCAGAAGUCACUCACUGACACCCUCCACG